UAAAUGAACCGAAAAUGAAAAGUCCCCUAAUUCUAGAAGCCUCUGACUCUUAUAUCAAAUUUGGGUCAGAGUGUACAAAUCGGUUUGGGCCAAUAUAACCCGAAAUGAAACAAGCCCAAAAUAAAAUACAUACUCUAGCAUCUAGCCCAAUGUGUGAUAUACAUGAAUAUACAACAAUAUACAAUAAGAAUACAGUGGAUAUAUAACAAUUAUGAAUGUAUGUGUUUGGGUUUGGAAGCUAAGUAAUCCUUUAGCUCAACACCCCCCCUCAAGUUGGAGGGGGAAACCACCUUCAACUUGGACAGUAGAUAAUGAUGAGCAGGGCCAGGCAGGGGCUUAGUGAGCACAUCAGCCAGCUGGUGAGAAGUGGAUACAUGAGAAAGGGAAAUCAAACCAUCCGUGAGCUUGGUACGAACAAAAUGACA
rnacentral:lncRNA from 1 species